AGAUAGGUUGGAAGUGGACGUGCCGUGAGGCAUGGAGCGGACCAAUACUAAUCGGUCGAGGACUUAACCAAG
rnacentral:rRNA from 1 species